GGACUCCCGGUGCUUACCACAGGCUGUGUUCUUACACCUCCUAUACAGAAAGAGAAGGAAGAGUGAACCCACCCCAUACACACCUCGGCCCAGGCCCUUUGCCUGCUCUGUGUUGUGAAUGGGGGGACAUGG